AAAUUGAAGAGUUUGAUCAUGGCUCAGAUUGAACGCUGGCGGCAGGCCUAACACAUGCAAGUCGAACGGUAGCACAGAGAGCUUGCUCUCGGGUGACGAGUGGCGGACGGGUGAGUAAUGUCUGGGAAACUGCCUGAUGGAGGGGGAUAACUACUGGAAACGGUGGCUAAUACCGCAUAACGUCGCAAGACCAAAGAGGGGGACCUUCGGGCCUCUUGCCAUCAGAUGUGCCCAGAUGGGAUUAGCUUGUUGGUGAGGUAACGGCUCACCAAGGCGACGAUCCCUAGCUGGUCUGAGAGGAUGACCAGCCACACUGGAACUGAGACACGGUCCAGACUCCUACGGGAGGCAGCAGUGGGGAAUAUUGCACAAUGGGCGCAAGCCUGAUGCAGCCAUGCCGCGUGUAUGAAGAAGGCCUUCGGGUUGUAAAGUACUUUCAGCGGGGAGGAAGGUGUUGUGGUUAAUAACCGCAGCAAUUGACGUUACCCGCAGAAGAAGCACCGGCUAACUCCGUGCCAGCAGCCGCGGUAAUACGGAGGGUGCAAGCGUUAAUCGGAAUUACUGGGCGUAAAGCGCACGCAGGCGGUCUGUCAAGUCGGAUGUGAAAUCCCCGGGCUCAACCUGGGAA
rnacentral:rRNA from 1 species